UGAGUAAACCAGGUGAUCGCGGAUUGGCGUUUCAGCAUUACCGGUGCUUCCGUUAUUGGAUAAGGCCGGAGCGCUCUGACCCCUUUCUUGGGGACGAUCAGCGGCGGCUGAGGGCUGAUCUGAGGAAAGUCCGAGCUCCACAGGGCAAGGUGCUGGGUAACACCCAGUGAGGGCAACCUCAAGGAAAGUGCCACAGAAAGAUACCGCCUGGUUGGGAAAUGAGGGGGGACGGUAAGCCGCACCUCCUCACUUCCCAAUUGGGUAAGGGUGCAAUGGCGGUGUAAGAGACCACCGGCGGCCGGGCGACCGGCUGGCCAGGUAAACCCCACCCGGAGCAAGACCAAAUAGGGGAAGGAUGAAGCGGCCCGCUGAGCUUCCCGGGUUAGGUCGCUAGAGGCGUAAGGCAACUUACGUCCCAGAGAAAUGAUCACCCACGACAGAACUCGGCUUACCGGUUUACUCAUUAA
rnacentral:RNase_P_RNA from 1 species